AAACCCGGUGAUCUAGCCAUGGGCAGGUUGAAGGUUGGGUAACACUAACUGGAGGACCGAACCGACUAAUGUUGAAAAAUUAGCGGAUGACUUGUGGCUGGGGGUGAAAGGCCAAUCAAACCGGGAGAUAGCUGGUUCUCCCCGAAAGCUAUUUAGGUAGCGCCUCGUGAACUCAUCUUCGGGGGUAGAGCACUGUUUCGGCUAGGGGGCCAUCCCGGCUUACCAAACCGAUGCAAACUCCGAAUACCGAAGAAUGUUAUCACGGGAGACACACGGCGGGUGCUAACGUCCGUCGUGAAGAGGGAAACAACCCAGACCGCCAGCUAAGGUCCCAAAGUCAUGGUUAAGUGGGAAACGAUGUGGGAAGGCACAGACAGCCAGGAUGUUGGCUUAGAAGCAGCCAUCAUUUAAAGAAAGCGUAAUAGCUCACUGGUCGAGUCGGCCUGCGCGGAAGAUGUAACGGGGCUAAACCAUGCACCGAAGCUGCGGCAGCGACGCUUAGGCGUUGUUGGGUAGGGGAGCGUUCUGUAAGCCGUUGAAGGUGGCCUGUGAGGGUUGCUGGAGGUAUCAGAAGUGCGAAUGCUGACAUAAGUAACGAUAAAGCGGGUGAAAAGCCCGCUCGCCGGAAGACCAAGGGUUCCUGUCCAACGUUAAUCGGGGCAGGGUGAGUCGACCCCUAAGGCGAGGCUGAAAAGCGUAGUCGAUGGGAAACAGGUUAAUAUUCCUGUACUUGGUGUUACUGCGAAGGGGGGACGGAGAAGGCUAGGCUAGCCGGGCGACGGUUGUCCCGGUUUAAGCGUGUAGGGGGUGUGACCUGGUAAAUCCGGUUGCAUAUUAACCCUGAGGCGUGAUGACGAUGCACUACGGUGCAGAAGUAGUUGAUGCCCUGCUUCCAGGAAAAUCCUCUAAGCUCCAGGUAACAUUAAAUCGUACCCCAAACCGACACAGGUGGUCAGGUAGAGAAUACCAAGGCGCUUGAGAGAACUCGGGUGAAGGAACUAGGCAAAAUGGUGCCGUAACUUCGGGAGAAGGCACGCUGGCAUGUAGGUGAAGUCCCUCGCGGAUGGAGCCGAAGCCAGUCGAAGAUACCAGCUGGCUGCAACUGUUUAAUAAAAACACAGCACUGUGCAAACACGAAAGUGGACGUAUACGGUGUGACGCCUGCCCGGUGCUGGAAGGUUAAUUG
rnacentral:rRNA from 1 species